GGGGUUGACCGGUUUUGACAGCGUGUAGAAGUGGUGGGUAAGCGUGCAGAGCUAUGAGGUCUAUGCUCUAUAAUAUCUGGCUUCGACCAAUUUAAAUGGCGAAAACAACUACGCUCUUGCUGCUUGAUUGAAGUACAGUAGAUCAGCUUAAUCGCCGCAACAGUUGCAGCGACAAGACAUCGCCCGAUUGUCCUUUUUCCGAGACGGAUCGACAAGGCGGUGCAGGUAAAUCGGAAAUAGGAAGCCGCAAGCCUCGGGAAGCUUCCGAAAUUUUUAGAGGAUAAGGCCGCGGUUGGUAGUUUCAGGCCUGCCGCAGCUCGAAAAUCAACUUGAAACUACGCACGUAGAAAGCUCAUUAGUUCCGCGUUUGGACGGGGGUUCAAAUCCCCCCAACUCCACUA
rnacentral:tmRNA from 1 species